UACGUAGGGUCCGAGCGUUGUCCGGAAUUAUUGGGCGUAAAGCGCGCGCAGGCGGUCCCUUAAGUCUGAUGUGAAAGCCCACGGCUCAACCGUGGAGGGUCAUUGGAAACUGGGGGACUUGAGUACAGAAGAGGAAAGCGGAAUUCCACGUGUAGCGGUGAAAUGCGUAGAGAUGUGGAGGAACACCAGUGGCGAAGGCGGCUUUCUGGUCUGUAACUGACGCUGAGGCGCGAAAGCGUGGGGAGCAAACAGG
rnacentral:rRNA from 1 species